rnacentral:rRNA from 1 species
AUACGGAGACUGCGAGCGUUACUCGGAUUUACUGGGCGUAAAGGGUACGUAGGCGGACUUAUAUGUCAGGUGUGAAAUCUCGGGGCUCAACCCCGAAACUGCGCCUGAAACUAUAGGUCUAGAGUUCUAGAGAGGUAAGCGGAAUUCCUGGUGGAGCGGUGAAAUGCAUAGAUAUCAGGAGGAACACCAAAGGCGAAGGCAGCUUACUGGAUAGAUACUGACGCUGAGGUACGAAAGCGUGCGGAGCAAAAGGGAUUAGAAACCCCGGUAGUCC